UUCAGCUGGGGGGGAAUCAAAGAACAGAGAGGGACACAAAGGGAGAGACUGAGAGAGAGAUAGAGAGAGAGAGAGAGAGAGAGAGAGCAAGCCAGAGAGUUUGUGAUGGCAGCUCGUGUAAUAGAGUGAAAAGUUUUAAUGGCUCAACUCAAAGGGAACAAGAAGAUGAAGGAUAGUGCGUUGGUUUCAGGGCCUAUGGAGAUUGAGCUUUCCACCUCGAAGAAUCGACCCGUUGAAAUAUUUUUGGGUAUUCGAUAAGCUUCCGAUUGUGCGGAGGAACCACUUUUUGAUAUCGGGGAUCAGCUUGGAGG